UACGUAGGGUGCGAGCGUUAAUCGGAUUUAUUGGGUUUAAUGGGUGCGUAGGCUGGUAGUUAAGUCAGUGGUGAAAUUUCCCGGCUCAACCGGGGGGCUGCCGUUGAUACUGAUUACCUUGAGAAGAUGAUGUGGGCGGAAUGUGUCAUGUAGCGGUGAAAUGCAUAGAGAUGACACAGAACACCGAUAGCGAAGGCAGCUCACAAAGCUAUAACUGACGCUGAGGCACGAAAGCGUGGGGAUCAAACAG
rnacentral:rRNA from 1 species